AAAGUAAUUUAUUAAAAGAAAUAUAUUUUAGUGUUAUACAAAUAUGAUUUUCACGACAAUUUUUGGUAUAUAAAAUAUUCACUUUUUCUAAAAUAUACGAAAAUAUGCAAAUUUAAACUUUGUAUUAGAUUUCAGCAUUUCAUGAAACAAAUUUAUUGUUAACCUAGAAGAAACUACGACCACUAAAAAAAACUUGCAAAUUCAAGAAGUCUCGAACCAUAUAUAUUAUAA